rnacentral:rRNA from 1 species
UCUCGACCUGAGAUCAGACGAGACUACCCGCUGAACUUAAGCAUAUCACUAAGCGG